rnacentral:rRNA from 1 species
UACGAGGGGGGCGAGCGUUGUUCGGAAUUAUUGGGCGUAAAGGGCGCGUAGGCGGUCGGAUAAGUCUUGUGUGAAAUCUUCGGGCUCAACUCGAAGUCUGCACAGGAAACUAUCUGGCUUGAGUGUGGGAGAGGUGAGUGGAAUUCCUGGUGUAGCGGUGAAAUGCGUUGAUAUCGGAAGGAACGCCGGUGGCGAAAGCGACGUGCUGGCCCUUCUCUGACGCUGAGGCGCGAAAGCCAGGGGAGCAAACGGG